UACUCAUGUAUUUGUUUUUAAUAUUUGGUAAGUGCAGUAGUAUAUGAAAGUAUCUAACAGUUAUAUUAGUGGUUCAUUUUGGAAACGCCCAUGUUGUCGCAUCCGUUCUCCGUUCGCGGGGGCGAAUGAUACAUACGCGGGUUUUGAAAAGCACAGUCGCGGUAGUAUUUCACACAUACCCCGACGCUAAAUAUAGCUGCUACGGACGAAAACUGGCUUUCUACUUUAAGUUACAUUCCGUGACAAAAAUUAGGAUUUACAGGAACUCCUUCGUCGGCGGGACGCGAAUGAGAUGCGGGGUUUUAGCCGCGCGGUCGUUGUAGUAUUUCACACAUAUACCGCCUUAACUGGGUUCCUACGUUAAGAAUUACAUGCUUCAGUGAGAAAGUUGAGGAACAAAGUCGUCCGCGGGACACGAAUGAGACGUGCAAUGGGCUUCAUCUGCAUCGCGGUUUUGUGGGGUGAGCAAUUGGACAGGCAGGUGGAGAGGAGACACUAGAUGCAUUCAUCCCAGCUUCCUGUCUGACUUUGGCACUCUGUUCACAGCAUAUCAUCUUCAUUCAAAGCGCUCUGUAUCUGGAGAGAGGAACAAAGAAGUCAGGAGGAAAAGUAAACAUCAGGCCAAAUGGUACAGAAGAAACAGGUUGCAGUGAACCUACAUGUUGCUACUCUUCUUUGCAAAGUGAUGGAUUUGCAGUGGAGUUUCUACAAUAUGUCGGAUACUCUUCACACCAUCGGUUAUCAAUCGCUGGCGGUCUCCCUCGGCGGCACUACCGCCGACUUUCGCAACCUGUGAUGGAACACAGUCUGGAGCCGAAUUGUUCUCCUUGACCAGAAGUUUAUUGGAAUCGCUUGGGAUCAUUUGGACAUACUGGACUGUUCCUGCAGUGGUGACAAUUAAUCUGUUUUUUAUGUAACAAUUAUACAACUUCAUUUCAUUUCGUCAUCCACGAAAAUUAUUUGUGAGUCCUAUUGGAUUUGAUUCCUAGUGAAGGUAAAGACCCAUUGUUCCACACUCUUUUAUAGCAUUAUCAAGCUAUGCCAUUGUUGUUGUCAUCGUUGUUUAGUAAUCUCUAGCUAAAUAUAUUUAAUAUUGUGCCUUUAAAGUUAUGCAGUUUUUUAGAUAUUCCUCUUUCUGUGUGAAGAGCCACACAGUGUACAUGUUUCAAUUACUUUAAAAAUAUUUAAUUUCAUGUCCAUUAAAAAAAAACCAUUCAAAAUAUAUGUUUU